UCGGAGAGGGUCGGAGAGAGGUUCGGAGAGAGGUUCGGAGAGGUUCGGAGAGGAACGGAGAAGGGCGGAGGAGAGGAACGGAGAGGAAGGUCCUUUAUUCCUACUGCUGGUGACAAAACCACGGGGGUACAAACACAGCGGCACCGCGGCGACACCCCGGCCACCGGGACAGCCCCGCGGCACUGCCACGGCCACGGGAGCAGGGUCCGAAGGGGACGGCACAGAGGAGUCCGUGUGCCAGCAACCCCAAGGCCACACUGUGAGAGAUAUAAAUACAUGUCCUGUAACAGCACUGGGAUCCAGGCAGGCAGAGAGGGCGUUUGCUGGUGUUCAUUUUCCUGCUGCUGCAGAGGAAGAGGUGCUCACUCCGCCAGGCU